AUUGAGCGCUGGCGGCAGGCCUAACACAUGCAAGUCGAACGGUAACAGAAAGCAGCUUGCUGCUUUGCUGGCGAGUGGCGGACGGGUGAGUAAUGUCUGGGAAACUGCCUGAUGGAGGGGGAUAACUACUGGAAACGGUAGCUAAUACCGCAUAACGUCGCAAGACCAAAGAGGGGGACCUUCGGGCCUCUUGCCAUCGGAUGUGCCCAGAUGGGAUUAGCUAGUAGGUGGGGUAACGGCUCACCUAGGCGACGAUCCCUAGCUGGUCUGAGAGGAUGACCAGCCACACUGGAACUGAGACACGGUCCAGACUCCUACGGGAGGCAGCAGUGGGGAAUAUUGCACAAUGGGCGCAAGCCUGAUGCAGCCAUGCCGCGUGUAUGAAGAAGGCCUUCGGGUUGUAAAGUACUUUCAGCGGGGAGGAAGGGAGUAAAGUUAAUACCUUUGCUCAUUGACGUUACCCGCAGAAGAAGCACCGGCUAACUCCGUG
rnacentral:rRNA from 1 species